rnacentral:rRNA from 1 species
AACGAACGCUGGCGGCAGGCUUAACACAUGCAAGUCGAGCGCCCCGCAAGGGGAGCGGCAGACGGGAGAGUAACGCGUGGGAAUCUACCCAUCUCUACGGAAUAACUCAGGGAAACUUGUGCUAAUACCGUAUACGCCCUUCGGGGGAAAGAUUUAUCGCAGAUGGCUGAGCGCGCGUUGGAUUAGCUAGUUGGUGGGGUAAUGCCCUAACAAGGCGAGGAUACAUAGCUGGUCUGAGGGGAUGAUCAGCCACACUGGGACUGAGACACGGACCAGACUGCUACGGGAGGCAGCAGUGAGGAAUAGUGGACAAUGGGCGAAAGCCUGAUCCAGCCAUGCCGCGUGAGUGAUGAAGGCCCUAGGGUUGUAGAGCUCUUUCAGUAGGGAAGAUAAUGACGGUACCUACAGAAGAAGCCCCGGCUAACUUCGUGCCAGCCGCCGCCGUAACAC